CCCCGCGCCCCGCCCCCGCCCGCGCUCCAGGCCACAGGCCCCAUGCCCCGCCCCGUGCGGGCGGGGCUCCGGGUUUAAACGUCGCGGCGGGCCGGGCGAGUGGAGGGGCGGGGCGCGCCUCUGUGUCGUGCCGCGGGUUCCGUAGGCGACAGCGCGGCACGGAACGGCGGGCACUCGGGGCCGGCGGGCGGCACCAUGUCCCCGGGGAGCGGCGUGAAGAGCGAGUACAUGAAGCGCUACCAGAAGCCGCGCUGGGACGAGUACGGGCCGUGCUACCGCGCGCUGCUCCACUACCGCCUGGGCCGCCGGCUGCUGGAGCAGGCGCACGCGCCCUGGCUCUGGGACGACUGGGGCCCGGCCUGCGCCUCGGACGACUCGGCGUCGUCGGCGUCCUCGGGCGCCGGGGCCCCCGCGCCCCAGUGCGCCCCGGCCUCGCCGCCGCCGCCCGUGGAGCCAGCGGCGCGCGAGGAGCCGGAGCAGCGGGCGCGCGCGGCCCCGGAGGAGGAGCGGGGCGCGGAGGCCGCGGGGGACGCGGAGGCCAGGGACGCGGAGGACGCGGAGGACUCGGCGCUGCCAGCACUGCCAGUGAAAGACAUAAAAGAAAAACCUGAACGACAGAUCAGGACCAGAGAGCCUGACAAAUUACCCAGCAGUACCGAACCUCAACAACCACCAAGUGCCUUACCUGCCAGAGGAAGUAGGAGAGCAGUCAAGAGUCCUCAAAGGUCAUCAACUAAAAUUAAAGAACAUAAGCAUCCGUUUGCCCUUUAUGGGUGGGGAGAGAAACAGACGGAUACAGGAAGCCAAAAAACUCACAACGUCUGUGCUUCUGCCUCAGUGCAUGAGAUCCAUGAAUCGGCGCUGCGAGCCAAGAGCAGGAGGCAGGUGGAGAAGAGGCGGCUGGCGGCGCAGAGGCAGCGGGCUCACUCCGCCGACGUGGACAGAACCAGGCGCGUCAAGCCUGCCUCGUCCGAGAACCCGUGGAUGACGGAGUAUAUGAGAUGCUACUCCGCCAGGGCUUGAGCGCAGGGACAGCUGCUCAGACGACCUCUUUUAAAAGUUUAGGUGGAGCCUGUGUUGCUCUGUUCUGAACGACUUCUGAGAUUCCAUAGCUGGUAAGAUCACACCAGCUGUGGCAGAAGACUCAUUUUCCUUAUGUGUAGAUUUCUUUGUGAAAGAAUAUCACGUUAAAAGUGAAUACAUCGUGAGCUCUCCUGGUCACUGCGAUGUAUAUUUAGUACGAAGAAGGUCUGUGUGUUGUCCAAAACAACCUCGCCUAGUGAUCCUGGUGAAUCUUGCUGUUAUUAUAGUCCUUAAACAUUGCAGGUACCUAAAGAUGAAAUUCCUGUGGCGUCGUGAUGGUGGAACCUGUUUCUUGAAAAUCACUUCCUGCAUGUUCGGUUUCAGCCACCGGCUCUGGCGUUCCAUUCCCGUUGCAGCUGACAAUCUUAGGAAGAGGCCGAGGGGAGUAGCUCGGGUCCACACGGAUGGACUGUCUUAGAAACCCGACCCUUCGAGGCUCUGAGCAAGCCAGACUCUCUCCUUUAGAAAACAGACUCAUAUUCAAUGUGCUUACAUAUUACUGCAAACUCCAGAUGCAGAUCUGGAAGAACCUAGAGGGCAAUACUGGCCAAUUUUUCCCCAUUUUUAAGUAGAGGACAAAUGAACAAAAUUUUUAAGUACUUUUAAUGUGCAUGAACAAUGAAUGAGUCAAUUUGAAGUACUUGUGAGUCCCCUUCCUAUGUCCAAGUCAUUAGUUGGUUAGGGUUUCUUUACUUUUCUUUCUCUUUAGGGGUAAAGAUUAUCUUUUAAGCCUACAAAAUUUUUGAAGUUGUAACAAUUUGAUGUCCUACUUUUUCCUUCUCAUUCUAGAAACUGAUGUUGUGAUCAUGUUUCCAUUUCUUUGGACAACUUAUAAGACGGCAAGGUAGUUUAAAAUUACCUAUCAUGUUGAAAAGUCUGAAACUGAGAAUCCAGUGAUAUUUAAAAUAUAGAAUAAAAUAGUUGCUACAUAGGACUCUCUUUUUAAAAUUUUUGUUUUAAGUUCUUAAUUAAAACAAUUUGCCAUAAACACGUUUUCUGUGUUACUUUUAUUAAAAGCAAUAAUAGAAUAUUGAGUAACACCUGAACACCUCCACUGGACCGAGGUGAGUGAGAACUAAAUAGGAAUCUGUCCGUUUUCUUUCUUUUAAAACCUAAAAGAUUGCUCUCAUUUAGGAGGUGUCAAAAUGCUUGUACUCCCCUACUGUCAGAAAAUUUCCAAGCACAUAUAUACAUUUUUUCAAGUUUACUAAAAGUAAAAUAGGGCAUAGGUUAUCUGAAUUAACUUGUAAGGUAGUAAGCACACAUUUGUGGUGCUUCUUAUGAAAUAGCUUUGUCAUUGAUUCAUCAAAUGUAAAUUGCUAGUAACCUGAAAGGUGUGUACACUGGGUCACAUAAACUCAACCAACUAAACUGCACAAAAGAAAAGGUGGCUUUUGAGUUCUAAGGCUGUGCUGGCCGUAAACUUUAUCAACGGAAGGUUAGUAUUUGAUAAUCAAAGUGUUCAAACGUAUUAUUGGCAAAGAGGGAGAGAGGCCAAGCAUAUGUUAGAAGUAAAAACAACUUUCCUUGUUGACUGCUUCAGUAGAAAAUAGUUUAGUGGAUAGUUUUACAUUUCACUGGACUAGAUACAAAAUGGUGCUAAUAUUUACACAGUCUGAUUCUGUAGUUGGUUUGGGAUCAAACUGUCAAUGCCUGACUCAUAAGGUUCUUACUAUAGUCUUGUGAUCAGCUAAAUAAUAUUUAAAAAGUGAUCCUAAAAGUGUGACCUUGUAUUUGAAAUGGAUUUUGUACAGUAGGACGAAUAGGGAGCUCUUCAAUGUAAGGUGUGUGCUUAAUACCAAAUUCUGUGCAAGGAGUGACGUCUAGGUUUUGGGCCCAGAUUUGCUCCCUUCCAGCCUGCUAGUGUGAGAGGGGGAAAAGCUGCUCGUCUAUUACUUAUUUCCAUUUUGAAAGUCAGGACACCUGAGUGAAGACAGUAGAGGCCUCUUUUUGGAUUUCUUUUAUAAUUAGCAAAACUGUAUUUAAGAACGGUCUCCCUGUGUUGUUAUUGUAUAUUUAUUUUGAGCACUGCAUUCACUUUAACAUUCUGAAGAACAAAGGCUGGGCACUUACCAUCACAAGGCUCAGGCAGUGGGAAUUUGGGGCUGUGUUUUCUAAGAACUACGUAUUGCUUUUCGCUUGUAUUGAAUAUUGCAGUUACUUGGAAAAAUGUGAAUAAAAUUCAUU